GACAAUCAAAUGUUAGUCGCUAUAGAUCUUUAGGUGUUUAUGAUUUUUGUUGUUUUAAAGCUUUAAUCUGUAGCCUGAUAUGUUUUCUUUAAUCUGGAAGUGGUAUUAUAACCAUUAAAUGGCUAGAUUUGUAGUUAUUAAAGGUCAAAACCCGUUGACCGGGCAUGACCAUAAACUUUCUGGGUAACCCAGAAAGUGUAAUAUAGCGUCUGACAACGUUUUACAAGGUAUGGAUCUGACAGGUUUUAGGUUGUUUGAUGUUGUGUUUGUAAUCAAGUUAUAGUCUGAUAUGUGGACUCUGGAAUCAUGCCUUUAGAUGCCUUAAAACGUUAACAUAUUGAACAGAGCAAGUGGUCAAAGUAGGCUACUCGCUCAUUUUUUGACAUUUCUGGAAAAACCCAGAAACUUGAUGAACUUGUUUUCUGACAACAUUUGACCGGA
rnacentral:lncRNA from 1 species